UAGAGUUUGAUCCUGGCUCAGGAUGACCUCUAGCUACAGGCUUAACACAUGCAAGUCGAGGGGCAGCAUGAGGUUUGCUUGCAAACCUUGAUGGCGACCGGCGCACGGGUGAGUAACGCGUAUCCAACCUGCCCAUCACUCCGGCAUAGCCCAGUGAAAACUGGAUUAACUCCGGAUGGCAUCACUUGAAGGCAUCUGACGGUGAUUAAAUGUGAAGGUGAUGGAUGGGGAUGCGUCUGAUUAGCUUGUUGGCGGGGUAACGGCCCACCAAGGCGACGAUCAGUAGGGGUUCUGAGAGGAAGGUCCCCCACAUUGGAACUGAGACACGGUCCAAACUCCUACGGGAGGCAGCAGUGAGGAAUAUUGGUCAAUGGACGAGAGUCUGAACCAGCCAAGUAGCGUGCAGGAAGACGGCCCUAUGGGUUGUAAACUGCUUUUAUGCGGGAAUAAAGUCAUCUACGUGUAGAUGUUUGCAUGUACCGCAAGAAUAAGGACCGGCUAAUUCCGUGCCAGCAGCCGCGGUAAUACGGAAGGUCCGGGCGUUAUCCGGAUUUAUUGGGUUUAAAGGGAGCGUAGGCUGUAUUUUAAGCGUGUUGUGAAAUGUAGGCGCUCAACGUCUGCACUGCAGCGCGAACUGGAGUACUUGAGUGCGCAGGAAGUUGGCGGAAUUCGUCGUGUAGCGGUGAAAUGCUUAGAUAUGACGAAGAACUCCGAUUGCGAAGGCAGCUGACUGUAGCGUUACUGACGCUGAAGCUCGAAAGUGCGGGUAUCGAACAGGAUUAGAUACCCUGGUAGUCCGCACGGUAAACGAUGGAUGCUCGCUGUGUGCCUUAUGGUACGUGGCCAAGGGAAACCAUUAAGCAUCCCACCUGGGGAGUACGCCGGCAACGGUGAAACUCAAAGGAAUUGACGGGGGCCCGCACAAGCGGAGGAACAUGUGGUUUAAUUCGAAGCAACGCGAAGAACCUUACCAGGACUUGACAUCCCUUGCAUAAGCGUAAAAGUGUAAACCCUUCGGGGCAAGGAGACAGGUGGUGCAUGGUUGUCGUCAGCUCGUGUCGUGAGAUGUUGGGUUAAGUCCCGCAACGAGCGCAACCCUUACUGUCAGUUACCAUCAUUAAGUUGGGGACUCUGGCAGGACUGCCGGUGACAAAUCGGAGGAAGGUGGGGAUGACGUCAAAUCAUCAUGCCCCUUAUGUUCUGGGCUACACACGUACUACAAUGGCUGUAAACAAAGGGAAGCGAAGCCGCGAGGUGGAGCAAAUCCCCAAACACAGUCUCAGUUCAGAUUGUAGGCUGAAACUCGCCUAUAUGAAGUUGGAAUUGCUAGUAAUCGCAGAUCAGCAUGCUGCGGUGAAUACGUUCCCGGGCCUUGCACACAACGCCCGUCAAG
rnacentral:rRNA from 1 species